rnacentral:lncRNA from 1 species
GCGGACUUGUGCUGUCACUGACGGGGCUGAGGGGAUCAUUAGCUGAGACAGCAACUGAUUCUGUGCUUUUAUCCCCUUGAAUUACAGGGGCAUAUUCUUCCUCAUUAUCAUCUUCCACAAUUACGAUAUCAGGAGAACGACUGCAGUUAGAAGAAUCUGAGGUGGUAUCUUCAUUUGUCUCUGGUGUAAUGGGAGCAUUUUCUUCAUCAACCAUGGUAUUUUCCUCAUCAGCCACAUCCUCAGUAACAUCAUAAAUAAUGAUGUCAUCUGAAAUUUGUUCUCUUUGUUUUAAGCCCUCAGUUCUGUUGAGAGGUACAUGGUUAUUGUCUGCUGGUUCUUUCACAAUUUGCUGAAAUACAUUCGACUUUGUAGGUCCAUUAGUGUUCAGAAGUAGAGGCCUCUUGCGUUUUAGGCUCACUAGUUGGUUAUUCUGCACCAAGGUAACAAUAAAUUGUACAAUCUUCCGAAUAACUUGCUGUUGUUUCAGGUGUUUUGCUCUCAGUUCUGCCACUUCCCUCCAAAGAGAUUCAUUCUCCCUUUUCAGAGCAGACAACCGAGAUUCAAUAGUCUCUUGUUUAAUCUCCACUUUCUGAGCACUACUUAUUAUUUUGGAGAGAUCCUCCUGGCUUAUCUUGUUUUCUUCAGGUCUUGAAGAAGAAACCUUCCUUUUAAUGUGUUCCAACAAGUCCUCUCGACCCUGCUUAAAAUACGGGUGCUGAAACUCAACUAGACCAUCUCGUUCCAGUUUGACAAUCCCAGAGUCAACAUGGACAACUUUACGGAAGCCAUACAUGUUUAGCUGUCUGACAAAGCUUGCCAUGUUGUUGUGCUUGAAGUACUUAGGCAGAAUCUCUUUGGCAAAUCUCUGUUCAUCCAACACCAAGAAACUCUGGCCAUUCUGGCUCCAGGUGAUAAGCUGGUUGCUGGGCGCCUCGCCCACCAGCGCCCACAGCUUGCUGAGGAAGGCCGGCACCCCGGCGCCGGCGGGGGGCGGCUGCUGGGCCGGCUGCUGCUGUUGCGGUUCCUGCUUCAUUGUCGCUCGAGACCUCCGCCGUCUGACCGGGGGAGGGGCGCGGGAGGAGGGCAACCAGCGCCACUCGGCCCCGCCCCUCAUCCCGCGCGCUUGCGCACAGGGCUGCCCCGCAUGCGCGGCAGCCGGCGGCCGAGGCGCCUGCGCAGCAUUCAGGCGCCUCCCCGCCCCUUCGCCCCCCGUGCUUUACAUAACGGACCCACGUGCGCCGCCCUCACGUGCCACAACAGCGCGCG